rnacentral:rRNA from 1 species
GAUUGCAGGCUGCAACCCGCCCUGCAUGAAGUCGGAAUUGCUAGUAAUCNCGGAUCAGCAUGCCGCGGUGAAUACGUUCCCGGGCCUUGUACACACCGCCCGUCACACCAUGGGAGCCGGUAAUACCCGAAGUCAGUAGUCCAACCACGUGAGGACGCUGCCGAAGGUAGGAUUGGCGACUGGGGUGAAGUCGUAACAAGGUACC